GCCUGCGCGGAAGAUGUAACGGGGCUAAACCAUGCACCGAAGCUGCGGCAGCGACACUAUGUGUUGUUGGGUAGGGGAGCGUUCUGUAAGCCUGUGAAGGUGUGCUGUGAGGCAUGCUGGAGGUAUCAGAAGUGCGAAUGCUGACAUAAGUAACGAUAAAGCGGGUGAAAAGCCCGCUCGCCGGAAGACCAAGGGUUCCUGUCCAACGUUAAUCGGGGCAGGGUGAGUCGACCCCUAAGGCGAGGCCGAAAGGCGUAGUCGAUGGGAAACAGGUUAAUAUUCCUGUACUUGGUGUUACUGCGAAGGGGGGACGGAGAAGGCUAUGUUGGCCGGGCGACGGUUGUCCCGGUUUAAGCGUGUAGGCUGGUUUUCCAGGCAAAUCCGGAAAAUCAAGGCUGAGGCGUGAUGACGAGGCACUACGGUGCUGAAGCAACAAAUGCCCUGCUUCCAGGAAAAGCCUCUAAGCAUCAGGUAACAUUAAAUCGUACCCCAAACCGACACAGGUGGUCAGGUAGAGAAUACCAAGGCGCUUGAGAGAACUCGGGUGAAGGAACUAGGCAAAAUGGUGCCGUAACUUCGGGAGAAGGCACGCUGAUAUGUAGGUGAAGUCCCUCGCGGAUGGAGCUGAAAUCAGUCGAAGAUACCAGCUGGCUGCAACUGUUUAUUAAAAACACAGCACUGUGCAAACACGAAAGUGGACGUAUACGGUGUGACGCCUGCCCGGUGCCGGAAGGUUAAUUGAUGGGGUUAGCGGUAACGCGAAGCUCUUGAUCGAAGCCCCGGUAAACGGCGGCCGUAACUAUAACGGUCCUAAGGUAGCGAAAUUCCUUGUCGGGUAAGUUCCGACCUGCACGAAUGGCGUAAUGAUGGCCAGGCUGUCUCCACCCGAGACUCAGUGAAAUUGAACUCGCUGUGAAGAUGCAGUGUACCCGCGGCAAGACGGAAAGACCCCGUGAACCUUUACUAUAGCUUGACACUGAACAUUGAGCCUUGAUGUGUAGGAUAGGUGGGAGGCUUUGAAGUGUGGACGCCAGUCUGCAUGGAGCCGACCUUGAAAUACCACCCUUUAAUGUUUGAUGUUCUAACGUUGACCCGUGAUCCGGGUUACGGACAGUGUCUGGUGGGUAGUUUGACUGGGGCGGUCUCCUCCUAAAGAGUAACGGAGGAGCACGAAGGUUGGCUAAUCCUGGUCGGACAUCAGGAGGUUAGUGCAAUGGCAUAAGCCAGCUUGACUGCGAGCGUGACGGCGCGAGCAGGUGCGAAAGCAGGUCAUAGUGAUCCGGUGGUUCUGAAUGGAAGGGCCAUCGCUCAACGGAUAAAAGGUACUCCGGGGAUAACAGGCUGAUACCGCCCAAGAGUUCAUAUCGACGGCGGUGUUUGGCACCUCGAUGUCGGCUCAUCACAUCCUGGGGCUGAAGUAGGUCCCAAGGGUAUGGCUGUUCGCCAUUUAAAGUGGUACGCGAGCUGGGUUUAGAACGUCGUGAGACAGUUCGGUCCCUAUCUGCCGUGGGCGCUGGAGAACUGAGGGGGGCUGCUCCUAGUACGAGAGGACCGGAGUGGACGCAUCACUGGUGUUCGGGUUGUCAUGCCAAUGGCACUGCCCGGUAGCUAAAUGCGGAAGAGAUAAGUGCUGAAAGCAUCUAAGCACGAAACUUGCCCCGAGAUGAGUUCUCCCUGACUCCUUGAGAGUCCUGAAGGAACGUUGAAGACGACGACGUUGAUAGGCCGGGUGUGUAAGCGCAGCGAUGCGUUGAGCUAACCGGUACUAAUGAACCGUGAGG
rnacentral:rRNA from 1 species